CUCAGCCAUCUCCUGAGGAUGUUCGUGUUGAUGCUCAGCAGCUUAUGCAUGGUUCACAGAUGGCUUCUGUUGAGUUUUGUGUAAUCCAAUCACUCUGCACUAUUUCCUCUCACACUUAGGCUGUGGGAGUAAUUGAAAAACUCACGGUGACAAUCGUCUCUUCUUCCAGAUGCCCUGGGUGUGAGGACUGUGGCUUUCAUCACCUCCUUGAAGUGGGAUGUGUGCAUGGCUCUGCGGAUCAGAGUAGCUCCAAGCAAGAGACAGGAGUACACUUGAGUGUGCCCAGGACAGCUCAUGCAUAUACGCACGUUCCUCUGAAGCACUGUGUUGGCAGUAAGCAGCUCAGCUGAAUCCUUAGAUUCUUCUCGGAAGAUCAAGUCCAGAUGACUCCAACAUAA
rnacentral:lncRNA from 1 species